rnacentral:pre_miRNA from 2 species
UGGAAGACUAGUGAUUUUGUUGUUUUUUUAUGAUGGAAGGAGACAACAAGUCAUAGUCUGCCUCA